rnacentral:ncRNA from 1 species
AUGUUGUAUGAAAAGAGAAAAAGUGAGCACUCCCUUUGAUAAGGAUGAAAGAGGCUUUUGGCCCUGACAACACGCAUACGAUUAAGGCACCUACUUCAUGGUAUCUAACCAUUGUUUAAA